CCGAGUAGAACUGGACACAACUCUUGGCAAGUGUCUCAAGUAGCUCACCUAAGAGUGAGAGGUUAGAUAGUAACAGUAGCUAGGUUGUAUUGAGCGGUGGUUACUGAAGAACUGGUUUGAUUGGGAGACGAGAAAACUUCCAUAAAGAGUUGCUGACAAUCUCAGACGAGUUUGCAGUGGAAUAGCAGCAGCUGAGGCAGGAUCAACAGCCACAGCAGAAAGUCCAUUCUUGGUGAGUAUCAAGCAGUUCUCUGGCCAGGAGGACAGAAAGGAGUCCUACCUGACUAGUGAUUGCAGGACAAUUCUACCAUAGUUGGCCAUCUGAUCUGAAAGACUGGACCAGGGAGUAGUAGAGGAUGAACAAGUAUAUCAAACUCCAGGUAGCUGUUCUACAUAUCUCAGACUGGAACGUUAGUGAGGGAAGCUGCAGAGACUGCACGCAUCCUAGUGCAACGUGCCCUGAUAUGAGCUGGAGGAGUCUUGUUCACCACCUAAUAGCAAGUCCUGAUGCAGUCUCAGACCCACUUGGAUAAUCUGAGUGAAGAGGACUGUACUGUCCUCUUUCUGUAAAAGCCACACAGC